AAUUAAAAAAUUAUCUAUUUUUAUUAUUAAAAACUAGCGUGGUUGGCGAAAUAAUCAGACAAUGACAUAUGAUAUGCCACCAGUACCUCAUGGUGAUGUACAAAACCAGUUUUCAACUGUAAAAAUGAAUGAAAUUUUUAACA
rnacentral:pre_miRNA from 1 species